rnacentral:tRNA from 1 species
GUCUCUGUGGCGCAAUCGGUUAGCGCGUUCGGCUGUUAACCGAAAGGUUGAUGGUACGAAUCCAUCCAAGGACG